GAACGAGCUUCCGUUGAAUGACGUGCUUGCMYKKAUUUYAACAAUGAAGCGAGUGGCGAACUGGUGAGUAACACGUGGGAAAUCUGCCCAGAAGCAGGGGAUAACACUUGGAAACAGGUGCUAAUACCGUAUAACAACAAAAUCCGCAUGGAUUUUGUUUGAAAGGUGGCUUCGGCUAUCACUUCUGGAUGAUCCCGCGGCGUAUUAGUUAGUUGGUGAGGUAAAGGCCCACCAAGACGAUGAUACGUAGCCGACCUGAGAGGGUAAUCGGCCACAUUGGGACUGAGACACGGCCCAAACUCCUACGGGAGGCAGCAGUAGGGAAUCUUCCACAAUGGACGAAAGUCUGAUGGAGCAAUGCCGCGUGAGUGAAGAAGGGUUUCGGCUCGUAAAACUCUGUUGUUAAAGAAGAACAYCUUUGAGAGUAACUGUUCAAGGGUUGACGGUAUUUAACCAGAAAGCCACGGCUAACUACGUGCCAGCMGCCGCGGUAAUWCGGUCAUAGCUGUUUC
rnacentral:rRNA from 2 species